UGUCCAGGGUGUACCCCGCCUUCCGCCCGAACGCAGCUGAGAUAGGCUCCAGCACCCUCCGCGACCCCAAAAAAAGGGACAAGCGGUAGAAAAUGGAUGGUUUUUUAAAUGUACCGUAUUUUUCGGAGUAUAAGUCGCACCGGCCGAAAAUGCAUAAUAAAGAAGGAAAAAAACAUAUAAGUCGCACUGGAGUAUAAGUCGCAUUUUUUGGGGAAAUGUAUUUGAUAAAACCCAACACCAAGAAUAGACAUUUGAAAGGCAAUUUAAAAUAAAUAAAGAAUAGUGAACAAGAGGCUGAAUAAGUGUACGUUAUAUGAGGCAUAAAUAACCAACUGAGAACGUGCCUGGUAUGUUAACGUAACAUAUUAUGGUAAGAGUCAUUCAAAUAACUAUAACAUAUAGAACAUGCUAUACGUUUACCAAACAAUCUGUCACUCCUAAAUCGCUAAAUCCCAUGAAAUCUUAUACGUCUAGUCUCUUACGUGAAUGAGCUAAAUAAUAUUAUUGGAUAUUUUACGGUAAUGUGUUAAUAAUUUCACACAUAAGUCCCUCCUGAGUAUAAGUCGCACCCACGGCCAAACUAUGAAAAAAACUGUGACUUAUAGUCCGAAAAAUACGGUAUACUUAAUGAUUGUGAUAACUUAUCAAAGUUAAGAUGGAGUUGUUUUUUUUACAGUGGUUGGCAUUUGUACCUUAAAUUGCGUCAAGUCAUUUUUAGUAUUUUCUGUAGUAUUUUUAGACCUGUGUGACAGUUUGGAAUGUUAAAAUGUUACUUCCUGUGCAGUUGUUAGAGGCUUUAUAAUGGUGACAGUUUGACCAUUGAACAGAUCAUUUCUAUGUCCAUUCAUUCCUGUGGUUGAAAGAGGUUCCACUGUACUAUUUUAUAUUAUAUUAUUAUCCAACAAAAAAAGAUGGUUUAACACAUGAUGCGGGAGAGUGUUGGUGGUUCAAAUACUGACCUAAUGCUUUGAGAGCAAGCGUGGAAAAGAGGAUCAGCAGAACCGGAACCAAAUACUGGAGAGUCACUACAGUCAGGUAGCAAAACACACGUGUAACCUGGACACACACACACACACACACAUAUUUAUUAUUUGUUUUUCUGUAUAUUCUAUCAAUCUAUUAUCUGACCUUCCUCUGAAUAUCAAUGGCGGCGAUACGACCGGCCUCCUUCUUCAUCUGCUCCACCCACUUUUGGGCAAUGUUGAGGUAGGCCUGCAGGUGGUAGCGUGUGAGCGCGAGCCGCAGGACGCACAACAUCACAAUGAUCCACAAGCGCAUGCUGUCGAAGACGUCGCUGGAUACCCUGCGAGCGUGAGCGGCGCGUUAGCGAGGAAGUCCCUGGCGAUGGGUUUGAUCCACAGGAUCACCACCACCACCGGAGAUAGGAAGCUCAUGUGCAGCAGAAUCCUGCAGGAGGCGUUCAAGUUAAUGCUCUGGUUUUCGACUUACUGCUGUGGAAUGCUUUAAACCACGCACUGGAUGAGGGGUCGUUCCGAGUUCAUCUGCACUGCAUCCAGGAUACAGUGCGAAGAUAACGGUGAGGACACACCAGAUGGCGCCGAUGUUGACCUCCUUGCUGGCGUCCACCACACUGCAGUAACACUCUGUGAAAAGGAAGACGCCGAUGGCGUAAACAGAAAAGUCCACCAGCCACUGGUACUCCAGGAAGAAACGCAACACUAAGGAAAAUAAGAAGAAAACAUUUUACUUGUGUUGUUGAAGUGACAUUAUAGGCUACGGUGUAAAUAACAAGUGUUAUUCCAACCGAGGGCAUCGAUGGCGUUGACUGGUGCUUUUUCCAAGUGGAGGUCGAUGUCUUUUGGCACAGUGAGAGGUUUGUUUUCUCCAUUUUGUCUCCUGGUGAAAAAAACAUGACUUUUUAAAAGAUCCAUAUGCUUUUAAAAAAAGGUCCCAUAUUAUGCAAAAGUGACUUUUUAAUAAUGUUCUUUGAACAGUAAUGUCUUUAGAGCCUCUGACCCACCUAACUAGAUGAGCCUACCACUUAAAGAAAUACUGGUUUUCCUGAACAUAGGCCUGACAUUGGAAGCACAUUUAGGAAUUUUCCUAAAGUACCA